rnacentral:rRNA from 1 species
UACAGAGGUCUCAAGCGUUGUUCGGAAUUACUGGGCGUAAAGGGCGCGUAGGCGGUGUGUCAAGUCAGGCGUGAAAGCCCCGGGCUCAACCUGGGAACCGCGCCUGAGACUGGCACGCUCGAGUUCGGGAGAGGAUGGUGGAAUUCCCAGUGUAGAGGUGAAAUUCGUAGAUAUUGGGAAGAACACCGAUGGCGAAGGCAGCCUUCUGGACCGACACUGACGCUGAGGCGCGAAAGCGUGGGGAGCAAACAGG